GGUGGUUCAACCAUAUCAGUUAUGGUUGCUAAAGAAGUCCAAGCUGAGGUUGUAUUGCUAUUACUGUCCAUGCUUGGUAUGACUUAUGAGGUCUGCCCUCAAUUCCUUCAAUAGUGAUGUUUGUAGCGAUUGCUAGUCAAUAUCCAUAGAUUCCUUUGUCUGUAAACACUGAACAGAGUCUUCAAUUUUCCUUGAUAUACUUGUUGCCAGAUGAUUUAAAGAAUACGGCACCUGAAACUACACUUUAUGAGGUGGGCAACUGAUUAGGGCAGUUCAAACAAUCGGUUCGGUUUUGAACCAAACUGAAAUAAAAAAUAGAAAAAAGACUAGAUUUAAUGUUGAGCAAACUGAAACAAAACCUAUUUUAAGACUGAAAACCUACGUCAAACUGGAUAAACCGGUUUGGUUCAGUAUAGUUUUUCACUUUUGGCAUUUUCUUUGCUGCAUUUCAAUUGCCAUCUCCAUGCAACCACACUCAAUGUCACAUGAAUUCAUUAAAGAAAGUUAAAAAGAGCAACAUAACAUAAAAAAUACCAGAACAAAUGCAUGUGGUUUUCCAAAAAUUUCAUAACCCAGAUUAAAAAAAAAAAGCUCACAAUCUGGAUUCAAAAACUCUGAAGAUUUCACAACCCAUAUCAACAUAAUCUCACAACCCACUUUUGCAUAAUUUCACAACCCACGUUUGCAUAAUUUCACAACCCAGAUCUGUGACCGUUGAGGACAGCCAUCAGCGAUCUGUGAUCUGCAAUGGAGGAGGAUGUUCAUGCGGUUAUCUGUGACUGGGUGACAAGGGGAAGCUGUAUGGAGAGAUUGAGGCAAAGAUGAGGAAGCAAUGGAGCUGACGCCAGAUUGAGACAGAAAAUGGAGGCCAGAAUGACAUGUGUAGUAGCGAGGGCAGAGUCGAGAGAGCAGCUUCCUCGCAAUUACCAGCCUUUGAGCUAUGACUCUUGAGAGACAGCAGCCUCAGAAUGAAGAUAUAUGACAGACAUAAACUUAAACUCUAUAGAGGCCAUAAAACGGUGGGACUAAAACUUAAAAACAGCAGAGGAUAUAUAAUUGUUAUAAAUCAAUCAGUUUGCUUUCUCUCAUUGAUUUCGGUUGAU
rnacentral:lncRNA from 1 species